UACGUAGGGUGCAAGCGUUGUCCGGAAUUAUUGGGCGUAAAGAGCUCGUAGGCGGUCUGUCACGUCGGCUGUGAAAACCCGAGGCUCAACCUCGGGCCUGCAGUCGAUACGGGCAAACUAGAGUACUGCAGGGGAGACUGGAAUUCCUGGUGUAGCGGUGAAAUGCGUAGAUAUCUGGAGGAACACCGGUGGCGAAGGCGGCAUCCUGGACCGACACUGACGCUGAGGAGCGAAAGCCAGGGGAGCAAACGGG
rnacentral:rRNA from 1 species